UAUGGCGACCGGCGCACGGGUGAGUAACACGUAUCCAACCUGCCGAUGACUCGGGGAUAGCCUUUCGAAAGAAAGGUUAAUACCCGAUAGCAUAAUGAUUCCGCAUGGUUUCAUUAUUAAAGGAUUCCGGUAAAGGAUGGGGAUGCGUUCCAUUAGGUUGUUGGUGAGGUAACGGCUCACCAAGCCUUCGAUGGAUAGGGGUUCUGAGAGGAAGGUCCCCCACAUUGGAACUGAGACACGGUCCAA
rnacentral:rRNA from 1 species